GAGCUUUCUCAGUGGGGAUAUUCCAGAACCUUCUGGAUGCAGUCCUGUGCCGUGUGCCCUGGGAUGACCCUGCUGGAGCUGGGAGGUGGGACCAGAUGACCC